rnacentral:rRNA from 1 species
GGGAAUCUUGCACAAUGGGGGCAACCCUGAUGCAGCGACGCCGCGUGAGCGAUGAAGCCCUUCGGGGCGUAAAGCUCUUUCGACCGGAACGAUAAUGACGGUACCGGGAGAAGAAGCUGCGGCUAACUACGUGCCAGCAGCCGCGGUAAUACGUAGGCAGCAAGCGUUGUUCGGAGUUACUGGGCGUAAAGAGUGCGUAGGCGGUUUUUAAGUUCGGUGUGAAAUCUCCCGGCUUAACUGGGAGGGUGCGCCGAAGACUGGGAAGCGGGAGGGUGGGAAAGGCAGGCGGAAUUCCUGGUGUAGCGGUGAAAUGCGUAGAUAUCAGGAGGAACACCGGCGGUGUAGACGGCUUGCUAGACCAUAACUGACGCUGAGGCACGAAAGCGUGGGUAGCAAACA